rnacentral:rRNA from 1 species
GUACAGGGUGAUACUCCCGUACACUAAAAUACACAUUCUGUGAGUUCGAAGAGUAGGGCGGGACACGUGGUAUCCUGUCUGAAUAUGGGGGGACCAUCCUCCAAGGCUAAAUACUCCUGACUGACCGAUAGUGAACCAGUACCGUGAGGGAAAGGCGAAAAGAACCCCGGAGAGGGGAGUGAAAUAGAACCUGAAACCGUGUGCGUACAAGCAGUAGGAGCUCCGCAAGGUGACUGCGUACCUUUUGUAUAAUGGGUCAGCGACUUAUAUUCGUGGCAAGGUUAACCGUAUAGGGGAGCCGCAGGGAAACCGAGUCUUAACUGGGCGUUAAGUUGCAGGGUAUAGACCCGAAACCCGGUGAUCUAGCCAUGGGCAGGUUGAAGGUUGGGUAACACUAACUGGAGGACCGAACCGACUAAUGUUGAAAAAUUAGCGGAUGACUUGUGGCUGGGGGUGAAAGGCCAAUCAAACCGGGAGAUAGCUGGUUCUCCCCGAAAGCUAUUUAGGUAGCG